UACGUAGGGACCGAGCGUUGUCCGGAAUCAUUGGGCGUAAAGAGCGUGUAGGCGGCCACUUAAGUCCUGCGUGAAAUCUUGCGGCUCAACCGCAAGCGGUCGUGGGAAACUGGGUGGCUAGAGUGCGGGAGAGGAGAGUGGAAUUCCUGGUGUAGCGGUGGAAUGCGCAGAUAUCAGGAAGAACACCCGUGGCGAAGGCGGCUCUCUGGAACGCAACUGACGCUGAGGCACGAAAGCGUGGGGAGCAAACAGG
rnacentral:rRNA from 1 species